AAACCUUGUUGCGGGAACUUUCUCAGGAGCUCCUUGAACCUUUCCCACGUCUCAAAUAUAGACUCAAAUUUUGAUUAUAAAUAGGACGAGAUCUCAUUCCUAAGCUU